rnacentral:lncRNA from 1 species
GACUUUGAUGAGAUCCCACAGAGGGGUCAAGUUUAUGAUUAUGACUAUGUUCAGUGCAUGCACAGGUUGAGUUUGGUGUAUGAUAGAAUUUAUGAAAGAAAAGUUUUAAUUUUUAUGUAUGUUGUUGAUCAUGUAUGGGAUUAAACAGGUUUACAGGUUACAUGUUAGGCUUGCUACGGGUCCCGGCGGCCUUAAGCCGACCUGGAUCCUAGCGCCGGUAGCGGUCCGAUUUUCGGGUCGUUACAGAAU